GGCAGGUCCUGGGUAGAGUCCAGGUUGGCGGGUCCUGGGGCAGGGCCAGGAUAGGGCGAUCCUGGAAGCUGGGCUUCAGAAGCGUCCAGCUGUUGUUCCCCACCAGAACCAAAUGAGCGCAAGAUCUGACAAAGAAGAAAAAAGGCAGGAAUCGGAGUGCUGUAGCACAAUCACAGCUCACUGCAGCCUCAAACUCCUGGGUUCCAGCGAUCCUCCCGCCUCAGCCUCCCCAGUAGCUGCGACUACAGGCAUGUGACACUACACCCAGCCCAGUAAAGGCACCAUUCCCCAUUUUACAGCUGGAGAAACUGAGUUACAGAGCUUGUUUGCAUUGAGUCAACAGGAGCAAAUGCUAGAUCAGAUAGGGUGUGUCUCUCUGCCACCCAGGCCAGAGUGCAGUUGAUGCAGGGCAGGGGAUCCCCCAAGUGGAGCAUAAUGUGUCCAGAACUGGUUGGUUCUUGGUCUCACUGACUUCAAGAAUGAAGCCGUGGACCCUCGCGUGGUCAUCCCAUGGUCUCAUGUGAUGAUGACGCUGAGGUGCUCUGCAGGCUGUGCUUCUCUGUGGCUCCCACCAGAUACCCGAUGGUCCUGUCGAUUUGCUGAAUCAUCAACUUCCUGUUCUCUGCUUCUGGCCCGAAUCGAUGUCCCACGUUAUCUGGCUCUCUGUAGCACAGAGUCACAAAGUCAAAGUCUUCCUUGGUGAACCAGUUCACAAUGGUAUCGAAGUUCUCCCUCCACUCUGUCUCGCUGCUGUUUGGGCUGGAGUGCAAUGGUGUGAUCUUGGCUCACUGCAACCUCUGCCUCCUGGAUUCAAGUGAUUCUCCUGCCUCAGCCUCCCAAGUAGCUGGGAUUACAAAGCCAGCUAGCUUUAAGACGCAGUGUUGGGCAUCACAUUUUGGCACGGAGCAGGCACUCUUUUCUUUGCCCCCAGGUGGGACUAAGCCACCAGAAGCCUUCCCUGGUGUGUGCAGUGGGUGAUGAAUGCUUGCCUGCUCAGCACCCACUUCCUGGUGGGCUGGGUCACAUUACUCUGACUCCCCCUUGAGCUUCAGUCCGCGCCUGGUUCAAGAUGUAUUGACUCAACCCGAGGAUCCAGAGGUGGGAUGUGGCUGUGGCCUGGCCAGAGGACCAAGGAUGCUGCAUGCCAUGGCUACAGCAACUGGUUCAGCUUUGGGCUUAUGUCCUAGUCAGAGCCAAUGAGAUGUAAUCUUGGAAUAUCAGCUGGGCUGUUGGGAAGGGGGACAGGCUGCCCUGCUCAUCCCCAUUCCUGAUGCUGAGGGAUCUGAGAAAAUCACUUGUAAAAUUUGGGGGUGUUUGGAAGAAGGGGAGACUGAUGUCUCUUUCUCUAUACAGACAUCUGAUGAGCUACAGAGUUUGACUAACCUACCCAGAGGCAGAAUGAUGUGGUGGUUAAAAGUGUGCUCUGGACUGAGAUCUUGCCACUGCACUUCAGCCUGGGUGACAGAGUGAGACUCCGUCUC